rnacentral:lncRNA from 1 species
UUCAGGGCACAUCCACGGCCCCAGCUCACAAUUCCAGUCAAAGUCAUGCGGCCUUGGAGGGAACAGACGAGGGGUCCCCCUGAGUCUCCCUGGCAGGAAUCUGUUUUCCACUGUGGGUCAGCAGCACACAGCAUUUUGGUGGUGACUUCAGAGCCGUAGUAGUGGGGCUGCUGACACUCCCGGUGGGAAAUCAGCUUCACAACAGUCAUUUUCAGCUGCUCCGGAUAGAGAUAGUCGGUAGAAUUCUCUUUUCCAAAGCCAGUGAUCUCACAGCUUGUGCCAAACUGGGGAUCGUUAUACAUCGAGGGCAGGCAGAUGGUCUGUAUAGUCCGGGAUGGCUGCGCACACCUGCCCUCCUUGGAACGGAUCUUCAGCAAGGCUGGGGGAGGACAGAGGGUCAGAGGAGAAAGAUCACUACUGGUUAGGCGGUCCCCAUCUGUCCC